CACAGGAUCAAGGCAAGCAGCAGUCACUGCCACUGGGGGUGCUGUUUCGGGUGCUGCUGACGUAACGAUCGUCCUCUUGUCGUUGUUUGCUGUCCAGUUCCCUCCAACACUCGUUAUAGUAGGUACACAACUUGGCGUGUCAGUAGACAAUUCGCUGUACCCGUUCAAGUAGACAAAGCAAGUCAAUCGUUGGACACAGUUUUACUGGAGCCUGACCUUUUGAGACGCUGCGGGCAAAACAACUAUUCUUACCACCGAGAUAAAGACAAUUUCAAGUUGGAUAUUCACGCUUUCAAACCUCAAUCCACUUGAGCCACAGACACCAAAAUGUCCAUGGACUGUCAGAUGAGCGGUAACGUGAAUGAUCCCGGAGCAGCUGGCGGGAGCCCUGGGGAGAGUUCUCUUUUCUUUGUGAAGGGCAGGGCACCCUGGAAUGGGUUUACCUUGAGAGAGGGGCCCUGGAAAUCAUUGCGGUUUCAGCGUCGUCCGACCAAGUUAACCAGAAAGUGAAAGAAAACAUCCCUUCAAUUGCAUCAGCCAUCAUAAGAUCCAUCAUGGAGGUGUCUCACACCAUGGAAACAGAGGAGCUGAUGACAUGCCUCCAGAUCCAGCUCUACACUGCAUAUUGCCCCUGGACACAAGUACCAGGCUGAGGACCCAGUGAGGCAAUUGUGCAUUGAGUUUCUUUCAUAGAUUACUUUUACUACAAUAACAGCCAUAUUGUAUUAUUUUCUCUUUAAUUAGAAGCAGUUUUCUUAAAAUGCUUAACAUUCUGAAAGCUUAAAUCAAAAUAUUGACUGUGGCAACAAGCUAUCAGUACCUCAAAUGUUUUUAUAUUCUACCUUAUAACCUACUCCUCAAGUAUUAUCCAGACUUACGUUAUUUUAUAAAAUGUGACACUAAAGAAUGUGAAUAUUACCCUUUUUCAUGAUACCCAAAUAAGAGCAAGAAUCAGAAUUCAAUGAAGGACGAUGUUAAGGUGGGGGAAGGAUAUUGUUAUGUCACCGUUUUGUAAAUGUUGAUUAUAAUAAUUAAACCGUUUGAUUUGA